AUGGAUGGUGCCUGCACAAAUGUCACCGACGCCGCACGUUUGGUGCGGCUGCUCAAGGUCCAAGGCUUCAGCGCCACGGAGUGCAUGAAGAGGAUCGGUGGUCCAGACAGGUACAUUCCAUCCAGAUGCACCGUCGAUGGGUACGAGUGGGAAGUCCGUAUCCAUCCUGCUUCGAAGCGAGGCACGGACAGCACCAACCUUUGGGUGUCACUAUUGCUUUCUUUGUGCAGUAGACCCCGUGAAUCCAGCGUGGAAGCGAGCCUAGCCUGUCGGCUGGUACAUCCGAGCCGGAUCCUUGAAACAUUUCAAGAGGGUAGUGCGGCAGGAACCUUCUCUUACGCCGGUGAAUGCUGGCAUCGCGUGUUUCUCAGGCGUAGAGAUGAUUUGGAAGGUUAUCUCAAGGAUGAUACUUUGACCAUACAGUGCGCCAUCGCAGUACUCAGGCCCUUACCGGUACCAAGGAUCCCAGCUGAAGAGGUUCCCGUGCCAUCCUCCAACCUGCACCAGCACCUCGGCGAUAUCCUGCAGAGCAAGAUGGGAUCGGAUGUGACGUUUCUCAUAUGCAACGAGUCGUUUCGUGCCCACAAGAGCAUACUCGCCGCCAGGUCUCCUGUUUUCAAUGCCCAGUUCUUUGGAGAAAUGAAAGAGAAGAGCUCGCGGCAUGUGGUGAUCAUGGACAUGGAACCGGAAGCAUUCAGAGCCAUGAUCCAUUUCAUCUACACGGACACGGUCCCUGAAUUGGAAAAGCAGGAGGAGGUGUUGACGGCGAUGGCUCAGCAUCUGCUCGCAGCCGCUGACAGGUAUGGAGUGGACAGGCUCAAGCUGAUAUGCGAGGCCAAGCUCUCUCGUGGUAUCACUGUGGACACGGCAGGGACAACUCUGGCCUUAGCCCAGCAACACAAUUGUUCACAGCUCAAGACCAAGUGUGUCAAGUUCAUCGUCAGCACUCCUGAAGUUCUUGACGCUGUCCUGGCAACUGAAGGGUAUAAGCACCUGGAGGCAAGCUGCCCUUUGGUGCUAACUGAGCUUCUCAAGUCUGCCCAUGGGAGGAAUGCAGAAGCGUAG
rnacentral:rRNA from 1 species